CUUUUUUUUUUUGUUGUUGUAAAAGUUCAUAUAAAUGUCACCAAUUGUUUUUUGUAUUUUUCUUGUUUGAUAGUAUCGUUUAAGAAAACUUUUGAAAGUACCUGGGCCACUGUUUUUUCCUUUGCUUCUGCUAUUUCUUUGAGAACAUCAGAUUCCAUAAUUUUGGGAGUUCCCCAAAAAGCUCCUCUAGAUCCCAACACCGAGUACGCUGUGACAACAAUGUCGUUCGAUCUACAAAGCUCCCUUAGCUUUCUUUGUUGCCAUAUUGGACUCAUCUCAACCUUGUUUUCAUCCAUAAAAAAAAAAGAAGGGUGAAUUGGAAUUGUUUGCUGAAAAAGAAAUCAAAGAGUAAAAAAGUAGUGUUUACUUGAUUGACGCUAGGCGGGAUUGUCGCGAUAGAGAGUAUGUGUUGAAGCUUCUUACAUGAAAAAUUGCUUACUCCUAUGCAUUUUGCGAGCCCAAGUCUCUGACACUCCUCCAUUUCAGACCACACUACUUCGAAAUCCAUUGGCAUAAAAUCAUCUUCAUCAAUAGGAAACUUGUAUUUACCAGGUUUCGAGCUAACCGGCCAAUGAAUUAUAUAAAGAUCAAGAUAGUCCAGUUUAAGGUUUCUGCAAAACCAUAUUUGUUACACAGGUGGUUUACAUUAAGUUAUGUCACUCCCAAAAUAAUAUUCAAUCAUGAAACAUAAUUGACACGGUGACUGAUAGAGAACCUGAUCCAUAGAGAUAUGUGAAAUAGUUUUCUGUAUUUCUCAAUCGGAAAAGUGUUUACAAGUAUGUUUGUAUACAUCUACACUAAACCAACUAAACCAUAUACAAUCACAAUUUAACUUAACCGGAAUCACUAAACCGGACUAUCAUAUAUACAGUUCGAAUAGUGACACCUACUCUCAGUGAUUGAAACCGUGCAUUCUAAUUUCAUGUGAAAAUCAUUAAGGAAUCUAAAUCUUACUUCAAACUCCGUUUGAUCGCCGGUACGACGAGACCACCAUGAGCAUCAGCACACCAAAGUUUGGUAGUGACAAAGAAUUCAGAUCGAGAUCGAACUAAGCCGAGUGAAACCGCCUCCGCUAAAGCUUCGCCGAUCGGCUCCUCCGUUUGGUACCUUGGAGAGGUGUCGAAAUGGCGAUAACCAAGCUUAAUAGCCUCAAUCACCGUCUCUUUCAGCAUCGUUGGUUCCGGUAGCGGAGAAGCGGCGGUUCCAAAACCAAGAACCGGCAUCGAGUGAUGACCGGAUGGUCCGGAUCUGAUGGCGAGCGUAGGGACUGUGGUUAAAGACAUUGGUUAAAGAGAAGUCAACGAAAGUGUGCUCUCAGAAAAUGGUUUCUCUCGGUGGCCCAAAGCUUUACUCAGUAGCCACUGACUAAUGCUAGUGCCUGAUAAUAUUAUAUUAAUAUACUCUCUUUGAUUAGAAAAGUACGUAAGUCUUCAUAUUAUAAGUUUAUAACGCUAUAUAAUUUGACUAUAAAUUGUUAAUAGAAAGUAGUCAUGAUAUUAUAUACGAAAAAUAUUUGAAUUAGUAUUCUUUAAUAUUGUUUAUUUGGAAAACUUUUAAAGAAUAAUAUGUUAUGUAAUUUGUGCUAAAAUUUCAAAAUUUUAAUAUGUAAAUCAAUAAUGAAUUAAUAUAAGUUGUUUUCAGCUUUUUCUCAAAAGCAUGUCACGUAUGAGCAUUAACACCCGUGUGGAAAAAUGGAGCCAAGUGAGCUAAGCAUUUUAGCUUCAUAAAACAAACACACCGACGUCGUUAACUCUUCAUCUUCAUUUUUUUCUGUAACUUCUCCCAUAUUUUUUCUUCCCAAAAAUAUACUAUAAAAAUGAGAACACUUCUUCUAACGAUUUUGAUCUUCUUCUUCACAGUGAAUCCAAUCUCAGCAAAAUUCUACACUAACGUCUCUUCAAUCCCACCGUUACAAUUCCUAAACGCAACGCAAAACGCAUGGGAAACAUUCUCCAAACUCGCCGGUUGUCACAUCGGAGAAAAUAUCAACGGCCUCUCAAAACUCAAACAAUACUUUCGCCGUUUCGGUUAUAUCACCACCACCGGUAAUUGCACUGACGAUUUCGAUGACGUGCUUCAAUCAGCGAUCAACACUUACCAGAAAAAUUUCAAUCUCAAAGUCACCGGAAAACUCGAUUCCUCGACUCUCCGGCAAAUCGUUAAACCGAGAUGCGGGAAUCCGGAUUUGAUCGACGGGGUUUCGGAGAUGAACGGUGGUAAGAUACUCCGUACGACUGAGAAAUACUCGUUUUUCCCCGGGAAGCCACGGUGGCCGAAACGGAAACGAGAUCUGACUUAUGCGUUUGCGCCGCAGAAUAAUUUAACAGACGAGGUUAAACGCGUGUUCUCACGCGCCUUCACGCGUUGGGCGGAGGUGACUCCGUUGAAUUUCACGCGCUCUGAGUCUAUCCUCCGUGCGGAUAUAGUGAUCGGAUUUUUCUCCGGUGAACAUGGUGAUGGAGAGCCGUUUGAUGGAGCUAUGGGAACAUUAGCGCAUGCUUCUUCGCCUCCUACGGGGAUGUUACAUUUAGACGGUGAUGAGGAUUGGUUGAUCUCUAACGGUGAAAUUAGUCGUCGGAUAUUACCGGUGACGACGGUGGUGGAUCUUGAAUCGGUGGCUGUUCAUGAGAUUGGUCAUCUUUUAGGGCUAGGUCAUUCGUCGGUGGAAGAUGCGAUUAUGUUUCCGGCGAUUUCUGGUGGAGAUCGGAAAGUGGAGUUAGCUAAGGAUGAUAUCGAAGGGAUUCAGCAUUUGUACGGUGGUAAUCCGAAUGGAGACGGUGGUGGUUCGAAACCUAGCCGUGAGAGUCAAUCUACCGGUGGUGAUAGCGUUCGUCGGUGGAGAGGGUGGAUGAUUAGCUUAUCAUCGAUUGCCACGUGUAUAUUCUUGAUUUCUGUUUAGUGUAGGUUUUAUUUAUACUUUUAUUCCAUCUUAUUUUGGGGUCAAUUAAUCGAUUUGUUUUUGUUUUUCUUCUAAAAGUAACGAUUCUAUGUUAUCGAUGGAAAAGUAACGAUUUGGGGUCAUGGUCUCAUGGAAAUGAGAGAAAUUGUAAAAUUCUUCAUAUAUUGGAUUUUGGUGUUUAUUAAUGCAUAUUAAAUUUAAUGUCAGAAAAAACUUCGUUAGAACAAAAUGUUGUCGUAAAAUAUGAUUUUCUUUUUCUUUGGUCGGUGAAAUAUGUAAAUCUGUUUCUGCUAGACUAUUGAAUAUUUCGAUUUUUUGGUCAAAAAACUGUUGAAGUUUUCUUCACAAAUUUUAAAGGUCUUUAAAGUUUUACAAUGAGUUAUGACUCAUAGACUUACGAAGUCAUCACAUACAACACUAGUUAGAGCAUCAUUAAUGGUAGUUUCUUAGGUUAGUCUUAACUUAGUUCUUAGGAUUUUUUUUAAUUGAUUUUAAUUUUUUAAAACAAAAGAUAAGAAUACUUCAAUUUGUCUUUUAUAUAAGAGACUCUUUUAACAAAUAUAUGAUUAAAAACAUUAAAUUUGUAACCAAAAUUUCCUAAGAAUUAAGCUAAGCAACUAUCAAUAAUGGUGCUCUUAGUCGGUCCAAUUUGUUUGAGAAGACUUGUUUUUAUUGAUAAUCACCACUUACAUUUUUGUAAUGUUUCACAAAUCCACGUAUGUAGUUUUAUUUAAAAUAAAUACUAUGUUUUAAUUAAUAGUGGGAUUCUAAAGUAAAUUGAAAUUAUCAACAAUCGUGAAUUCGAACAUGUAUAUAGUCUAUAUAUAAUGACCUUGCGGCUCCUUCAAACACUGAACUACACCUGGUGGACCAUUUUCACAUUCUUGAAUGACGAAAAGUCUCUUCACUAAUGCAUACCCAUGCAUUAUCGUAAUGGCAACACCUGAACCAUGAGUCAUUAGCUUUAUGGUUAGCAUUGUAGUGAAGUUUUGUACAUGUUGGUGUAGUUACAAUAAUUUCAAUAACAAAAGCAAAACCACAUUCUUUCUCAUGGACUAAAUCUUUGCCAUAAGAGAACUUCUCGCUGCAAUCAUGUUGGCAUUUGGGCAUGUCACAAUGACUGCUUCCACAAAUGCCAAACAUGGCUGCACCAAGAAGUUCUCUUACGACAAAGAGUUCUUCCGAUGAGAAGGAAUGCGGUUUUGCUUUAUAUAUGUUACUGAAACUGCAACUACACAAGCAUGUACAAAGAUCUCUAUCAUCACUACAAAGUUAACCACAUGUACAUGUGUAAUGACGCAUGGUCAGAUGAUGUUUUUCUGACACGAUUAUCUUAUGCUAGAGGCAAAUAUUCUAGUAUCAUGUUGAUAACGUUGAUCAAAUAAGCAAACUUCCAAAUAAUUUAUUGAUUUUGAUCAUCUCGAUACUUCCACUUAAGAACCAGUGAAAACCAGUGUUCUGUCAAAAUGAUGGGUGGAUCUUUGGAAACAAAGCCACCAUCUUCUAUUGGACUUGAAAAUAAAAUCCACCAAACUUAUGCAUAAAUUUUUCGUUCGUUUAGCUAGAUUGACGGCCAAGAAAAAUUAACAAAUUUUGGUCAUCAAUCUAGCUAAAUAAAGAAAAAAUAGUGCAUAAGUAUGGUGGAGUUUUCUCUUGAUAUUUCUUAUGUCUAAGAAGACGAGGUGAGAUAUAUUCCAUAAAUCUACUUAUCGUUUUGAUGUAACUAGUAUCUUUUUAUUUUCUUAGGAGAGUGUAUUGUAAUUCUUCUUAAACACUUUACUCUUACCAAUUUAUCAUGUAUCAAUAUUAAUUAGUACGGCACAAUAGUAUAAUUGACAUAAGAAUGCGGAAACAACAUAUAGUCCACGCUGAAAUCAAUGAAGUAAGAAAAUGGAAACUUAAUUCAUUCGCAAACAUAACAUUAUUUGUUAUACAAAAAUGAAAAUAACAGAUAUUAACUAUCAAAACAAACAUAACCAAUUCAUAUAGUCAUGCAGAUCGAAAUUAUCAAUCAGACGAUAUAUUUAUCAAUCUUGCAAAGAAACAAAAACAAAGAUUUUACAAUUAAGAGAGAUGAAGAUCGGACCGUAAUGCUUUCAUUCCCCAGAAGAAGAGAUGAGAUGGGAUUCAGAUUCAGACAAUAAUACCUAUCGAUGUAACCUUUUCUUUUCCCCAAAAGAAGUACACAUCAAAUUCCCACCAUCAUGGAUCCAUCAUCCUUUUAGGAGAUGCUUGUUUUGUUUUUUUCCUCUUACUCUCUUGAACAAGAACAACAAGGCCAAGAUCUCCAUCGUGUGUUUCGUAUGUCUGAAAAUCCCUCUGAACUUUUUAUUAUAGUUUUGAUGAGACUUGUUUGGUGGAAGUUUGGUGGUUCUGAUGAUGAUGAGAGAGAGCGAAGAAAUUAUGGCUUAUAAAAAAGAAGAAGAGACAUGAUGAUUACUGAUUGGUACAAACAUUGAAAAUAGUUAUAAAAAGAGAAGUAAAUUGUCAAAACAAUCACAACUAUUUAC
rnacentral:lncRNA from 1 species